rnacentral:rRNA from 1 species
CCUACGGGAGGCAGCAGUGGGGAAUAUUGGACAAUGGGCGCAAGCCUGAUCCAGCAAUGCCGCGUGAGUGAUGAAGGCCUUAGGGUCGUAAAGCUCUUUUACCAGGGAUGAUAAUGACAGUACCUGGAGAAUAAGCUCCGGCUAACUCCGUGCCAGCAGCCGCGGUAAUACGGAGGGAGCUAGCGUUGUUCGGAAUUACUGGGCGUAAAGCGUACGUAGGCGGUUAUUCAAGUCAGAGGUGAAAGCCCGGGGCUCAACCCCGGAACGGCCUUUGAAACUAGGUAGCUAGAAUCUUGGAGAGGUCAGUGGAAUUCCGAGUGUAGAGGUGAAAUUCGUAGAUAUUCGGAAGAACACCAGUGGCGAAGGCGACUGACUGGACAAGUAUUGACGCUGAGGUACGAAAGCGUGGGGAGCAAACAGGAUUAGAUACCCUGGUAGUCCACGCCGUAAACGAUGAUAACUAGCUGUUCGGGCACUUGGUGCUUGAGUGGCGCAGCUACGCAUUAAGUUAUUCCGUCCGUCGGGGUAGGUACGGUCGCGAAGAAUUAAAACGUUAAAAGGUAAAGUUAGUACGGCGUGAGACGUGCCGACGGACGACCGACGAGGGAGGUAGG